AGUCGAUCCCUGGUCUCCACGGCGGUGCAGCCUCAGCCUCCUCGCUUUUCACGGUCGGCUUGGGCGUCCCUUCGGAAUGCCUUCCUCACUGAUGGCAGCCUUCUGUGCCUCUGCUCUGAGAACAUGAGACUCAUCCUUGAUUCUGGCACACGGGUGUUACUUGGUCACAUGAAAUAAAAGGUUACGGGCAUGGUGGUUCACGCCUGUAAUCCCAGCACUUUGGGAGGCCGAGGCGGAUGGAUCACGAAGUCAGGAGAGGACCAGCCUGGCCAAGAUGGUGAAACCCCGUGUCUACUAGAAAUACGAAAAUUAGCCGGGCAUGGUGGCAGGCGCCUGUAAUUCCAGCUACUUGGGAGGCUGAGGCAGAGAAUUGCUUGAACCCAGGAGGCGGAGGUUGCAGUGAGCCAAGAUUGCGCCACUGCACUCCAGCCUGGGUGACAGAGCCAGACUCCGUCUCAAAAAAAAAAAAAAGAAAGAAAAACAGGGUCUUGUUCUGUUGCUCAGGCUGGAGUGGAGUGGUGUGAUCACAGCUCACUGCAGCCUCAACCUCCUGGGUCCUGGGCUCAAGCAAUCCUCCUGCCUCUGCUUGCCUAGUAGCUGGGACCUCAGGCACACAUCAGCACACCUGGCCAACUUUUUUUUGUAUGUUUUUGUAGAGAUGAGAUCUCACUAUGUUGCCCAGUUUGGUCUCAAGCUCUUGAGCUCAAGCGAUCCUCCCACCUGAGCCUCCCAAAGCGCUGGGAUUACAAGCAUGAGCCACUAUGUCUGGCCCUAAUGGACGGUGUUAGACAAUGACAGGAGUGCACAUAAGAGAUCAAAACUAGAACUUGCAUAAUUAGUAUUAUUUAUUAAGCA